rnacentral:rRNA from 1 species
UACGUAGGGCGCAAGCGUUAUCCGGAAUUAUUGGGCGUAAAGAGCUCGUAGGCGGUUUGUCGCGUCUGCCGUGAAAGCCCGGGCUCAACCCCGGAACUGCCUUUAAAACUGCAUCGCUUGAAUCCGGGAGAGGUGAGUGGAAUUCCGAGUGUAGAGGUGAAAGUUCGCAGAUAUUCGGAGGAACACCAGUGGCGAAGGCGACUAACUGGACAGGCAUUGACGCUGAGGCACGAAAGCGUGGGGAGCAAACAGG